UACGGAGGGUGCAAGCGUUAAUCGGAAUUACUGGGCGUAAAGCGUGCGUAGGCGGUUUGUUAAGUCUGUCGUGAAAUCCCCGGGCUCAACCUGGGAAUGGCGAUGGAUACUGGCAGGCUAGAGUGUGUCAGAGGAUGGUGGAAUUCCCGGUGUAGCGGUGAAAUGCGUAGAGAUCGGGAGGAACAUCAGUGGCGAAGGCGGCCAUCUGGGACAACACUGACGCUGAGGCACGAAAGCGUGGGGAGCAAAC
rnacentral:rRNA from 1 species